CACACGACUCUCGGCAACGGAUAUCUCGGCUCUCGCAUCGAUGAAGAACGUAGCGAAAUGCGAUACCUGGUGUGAAUUGCAGAAUCCCGCGAACCAUCGAGUCUUUGAACGCAAGUUGCGCCCGAGGCCUCUUGGUUGAGGGCACGCCUGCCUGGGCGUCACGC
rnacentral:rRNA from 5 species